GCGGAUGAUUUUCGCUUGCGGAAAAAAAGAGAGGGAAGGAUUAGGGGCGGAAAAAAAUUAGGGGAAAGUUAGAGGGAAUUCUAGAGCGCCUAAAAUUGGAGAAAAAAAAAGUAAAACGACCCCUUUCAUAUAGAAAGUUUCAUUCGCUUCUGAUUCCGUCCCCUCAAAGCUCUAACCCUAGCCCUCCUGCCGCCGCUGCCAUGACCACCCGCUUCAAGAAGAACCGCAAGAAGCGCGUCCACGUCAGCGCCGGCCACGGCCACAUCGGCAAGCACUACAAGCACCUCGACGGCCACGGUAACGCCGGAGGGAUGCACCACCACCAGAUCCUCUUCGACAAGUACCACCUCGGCUACUUCGGCAAGGUCGGCAUGUGCUACUUCCACAGGCUAUGCAACAAAUUCUACUACCCCGCCGUCAACGUCGAAAUGCUCUGGUCUUUGGUCCCGAUUAGGGUUCUUCUCUGUAGGGUUUUUUGAGGGUUAGGGUUUUCUAUGGAGAUGGGAUUCGACGCCAUGGCCAACGAUACUCCAGUGGUUCCCGCGGAUGCUAGGGAAACCGGGAAGAAGAAGAGGCGAAUAGGUCGGCGGAAUUGAAGCAGUGUAAGCUUGAUGCGAUGAGGGAGCAAUGGCUUUCUCAAGAGUUGGAUCCUAAAAAUUAUGACGAGUUUGAUGUAUUUGUUAAGUUCCAUAAAAGAAAGAUUGGGUCUUGGAGAUUAUCCACAUGAGGAUACCAAAGAUGUUUGUGUAAGUUUUAUUUAUGAUUCUUCUUCCUUAAAAAUAUUUCUCUUAGGUUACAAAUCUAAAUUUUUGACGAUAUUUCUGUGAGGUUAUGAGGAAAGGAGUUAAGAUAAGGUUAAGAGGGGGUACAUAUGAGAAAAGGAGAUCUUACAACUUAGCCUAUGAAUUUUAUGUUACUAUUGUGUUAAAUUUAUUGCACUGUUAAUCCUAGUCGUAGAAUGCUUUCAUAAAAUGUUCCAUCUCGAAUGUCUAUUGGCUCUAUUAUUGCAAUAGAGGUAACUCCGGUACCAUCUUAUAGGAAGAAAACAGAGCUCAUGAUCUCUUUUAUGCCCUUUGGAUACCUGAUCUUUUCAUGGAGAGGGUCCAAAAUUAUGGGCAAUACUCACUAUUUUGCCCUAAUGAAUCUUCGGGAUUGGCUGAUUACUGGGGCGAGGAGUUUGAAAAGCUAUACACAAAAUAUGAGAGAGAGGUAAACAUUUUCUCUAGUUUUCAUAGUCUGAGUUGAGGUGUGAGAAUCAGCAGUUAAAAUUUUCUGUUA